rnacentral:rRNA from 1 species
UACGGGGGGGGCAAGCGUUGUUCGGAAUUACUGGGCGUAAAGGGCUCGUAGGCGGCCAACUAAGUCCGACGUGAAAUCCCCAGGCUUAACCUGGGAACUGCGUCGGAUACUGGAUGGCUUGAAUCCGGGAGAGGGAUGCGGAAUUCCAGGUGUAGCGGUGAAAUGCGUAGAUAUCAGGAGGAACACCGGUGGCGAAGGCGGGUCUCUGGGCCGAUACUGACGCUGAGGAGCGAAAGCGUGGGGAGCGAACAGG